AAAAUCGAAGCCAUUUCAAACGGCAAUAAUGUCGAACGGUUCGACGUCUUACUCAAACAAGGAUACACAUAUACAUUGUAUAAAGUGGCAUUCUGUCUAAACUGGGCGGAGGUUCAAUUUCGGAAUAUUGCGCAUGGGCUAGAGUUGGGAUUGAUAACACAUACUAUUGUGGAGCCAUUCACUAAACCAAUUCAAUUUCCUCCAUUUCCAAAAUAUCUUAUGCCAUUUCAUGAUGUUUACCAACAACCGCAUAAGACGUUCGUAGACAUUAUUGGCAUAGUUGUUCAUUUGGAGCCAUUAAAGUAUAUCGGUGGAAGGCCAUACAGAGAGGCUGUACUAAUGGAUUCCAGGUGGAAUCUAAUUGUCAUGGGGGUAUGGACCGAUCUCCUGCAGAGAAAUGCUCUACGAUGGGCAUUAGCUAAAGUUGACAAGAAUAUAAUUAUUGCAACAAUGAUGCGUCGUAACAAUAA